CUAUGUCUUCUCCCCCAUCUUCUCUCUUUUUUUAUUUCAAAAUUUCACGCCUCACACCUCCCUCUCUCUGUCUCGCAAAAUCUGAUGAUCAUCUCUGGACGACCAUCUCUGAAUGUGUUGCUGGAAAUUGAUGGAGGCUUGGUGGAGUGGAGUCGGGGUCGGAGGGUUGAUGGCAUGAGCUUCCCUCUAAAGAAAAGGUCGUUGGAGAGAGAGACAGAUGUGAGUCGUGAUUCUAGCCGGACGACCCAAACGAGAGGCGAAGUCAAACUCCCUAUCGAUGUCAUCACCGUCCUCGUCACCAUCUCCGCAUUCACUGGCAGUAACAUCUUCUUAGUUGCCCGCUUGUUCUGCUUCCGUCUCUCCUCUUCCUCCCACUCCUCUGCCUCCGUUAUGAGGUGAUUAGGUGAUUAGUUAAGCAACACCAUCGCACUCUCGGUGGUAGUCACAGUGUACUAAGAGUACACUACAACGGUUGACAAGGUGAUUUCUAUGCCAUGGUGAUGAAGCUGAAUAUGCAAAAAAUCGUGGAAUUCAAGUACUUGAUCCACUUCGGAUAAGGCCAAAAGGUGUACCAAAUACUCGGAUCAAGGGCGCUGCGGAAAAGAGAAAGAGAAAAGCGUCUUCAUUCACAGGAGGCACCUUGCACAAGCCACUUGAGGGAAUUUUGUACGACGAACCGCCGUGAGAAGGAGGUUGCCAUCGACAAGUUGAGAGAGAAAUGGUCCACAAAAUCAAAGAAAGUUGGAGGAGGGAACGCAGCAGAAUGAGCAAGAUGAAGGAUGGCUUUUGACUUUGAAAUGAUGAGACUAGUUCUCCUGAAAGUGUAGGUAGUUAACUAACUUCAGUUAGUGCAGCUUCUGGGUCUUUUUGCUAUGAGCAUGCACUUCUACAUAGGGUAGGAUCGAUUGGCAAACUAUUUUUGGGACUUGUACAGUUCACUGCUCCUUCUAGAAUCAACAAUGCCAUAUUUUGAUGUUGAAUUGCUGUUGAUCAAUACAACAAUAUGCUUUUGGGUGUAAGCAGUUAUUUAUUUUGGAAAUUACGUCUCGGGUAUUAUACCCACUGAACUACUAUUGGCACCCUCUAAUGUAACUAAAUAUUCGUCAAAUGUUCUUUAUGUAUGGAUUCAUGAAAGUGAUGAUUUGGAUAUGUU